UACAGAGGCCCCGAGCAUUAUCCGGAAUCACUGGGCGUAAAGGGUGUGUAGGCGGUCGUGUUAGUCUUUCGUGAAAGAUCCUGGGCUUAACCCAAGAGACGCGGAGGAAACGGCACGACUCAGAGGACGCGAGAGGUCAUGGGAACUCAUGGUGUAGGGGUGAAAUCCGUUGAUAUCAUGGGGAACACCAAAUGCGAAGGCACAUGACUGGCGCGCUCCUGACGCUGAAACACGAAAGCGUGGGA
rnacentral:rRNA from 1 species